AGUGCGGUGGUCGGUAGCAGGAUGAUGGUUCCUGAUAACGAGCGCGGCCCGGUGGGUCGGUACCGCUCGAUAUUGGAUUCGUGCUCGGCCUGGCGGCGAGGCCACCAUCAGCAGCGAGGGCUGCGAUUUUAUUGAGUGGUUCGAUAUAAUCUGCUGCAUGAUCGAGGGCUGCUUUAUUGACUCUAUCGCCUCCAGAUGUGAACCGAACAUGUUCCCGGCGUCAUCCAAUUCCAUGAUGUUGGUUGAAGUCGAGUAUAUGACGAUGGCGGUGUAUGGAAGGGGGACAUCCAUUAUAACCGACAGUAUAUUUAUUUUCGAUUGCACUUGACGUUACUGAAGCACUUCCACUGUCACGCCAUCGUCGUCGGUCGUCGACGGUGGUAGUUUGAUAGACGAACGAGGUAACAGCUGUUUGAAAUUUUGUCGUCAAUCGUCUCGCUCGUUAUACAUACAGAUCUAUUCAUCAUGGCGAGUGCAGAGAUGAUCUGUUUCUGAAUGCCACCAUGAAAAUCAUCAUCUUUGCUCUGACAGGAGGUCCUGCGGAAUGACGCGAAAACUGAAGAUGAAUGGGAUCGAAAACAUAUUUAUAAGUGGCAAUAAAUCUCUCAGAGUACAUUCAUUGUUGUGGCGUUCUUCGAAAAUCUGAUAUUUUGAGUGUUCUGAAUAUAAAAUGAAUUUAAAAUCGAUUGUUUCUGCCACAUGAAGCAAAUGGCUUAUCAGUCGUUUCCAAUACUCAUCACGGGCUUCAUACCUAAUCGGACAUUCCACUACGAUUCACAAAUAUGGACAGCUUAGCACUAUUUCCGCUUGCUAUUUCAGCAAACCGGUUGCGGUUUCUCACCUACCGUAAACCACAUAUCCUUAUCCAGGAAGGUAUCCGCCGCACGACAGCAUCAGACGACAUAGCCGUCGUCGGUCAGCGAGAAAGCAUAACAAGCAUCCCCGUGCGAGCAAACCAGAUUUAUAACCGCACGCACACUGGGCGGUGGAUCGGAAUACGAUUCCGAUUUGUUCCUAGCGACGACACAAUGGAUUUGCGGCUUAUGGCGGGUGGCUGACCGCACAUUUUUGUUUCAAUCAGCGCAACGUGACUUGUGAUCCGAAGACCGAAGCGAGGCAGCGC